CCUACGGGAGGCAGCAGUGGGGAAUAUUGGACAAUGGGCGAAAGCCUGAUCCAGCAAUGCCGCGUGAGUGAUGAAGGCCUUCGGGUCGUAAAGCUCUUUUACCAGGGAUGAUAAUGACAGUACCUGGAGAAUAAGCUCCGGCUAACUCCGUGCCAGCAGCCGCGGUAAUACGGAGGGAGCUAGCGUUGUUCGGAAUUACUGGGCGUAAAGAGUACGUAGGCGGUUAUUCAAGUCAGAGGUGAAAGCCCGGGGCUCAACCCCGGAACUGCCUUUGAAACUAGAUAACUAGAGUCUUGGAGAGGUUAGUGGAAUUCCGAGUGUAGAGGUGAAAUUCGUAGAUAUUCGGAAGAACACCAGUGGCGAAGGCGACUAACUGGACAAGUACUGACGCUGAGGUACGAAAGCGUGGGGAGCAAACAGGAUUAGAUACCCUGGUAGUCCACGCCGUAAACGAUGAUAACUAGUUGUUCGGUCACUUGGUGACUGAGUGACGCAGCUAACGCAUUAAGUUAUCCGCCUGGGGAGUACGGUCGCAAGAUUAAAACUCAAAAGGAAUUGACCGGCNGAGACGNGCGAGACGACACGAGGAGAG
rnacentral:rRNA from 1 species